AAGGGAUUGCAACCAGACUUGCUCGCGGUGUUCCGCCGGUCUUCUGACCGGUCUACUCGCCGCGUUGCAGGCCAGCAUCGUCUGGUGCCGCUGGAUAAGACUUGAGGAAUGUAGCUCCCUCGGGAGUGUUAUAGCCUCUUGUGAUGCAGCGAGCGCCGGGCGAGGUCCGCGCUUCGGCUAGGAUGCUGGCGUAAUGGUUGUAAUCCG
rnacentral:rRNA from 1 species